rnacentral:misc_RNA from 1 species
GAAAUGUUUGUUAUGGUUAUUUUGUUUUAUGCAAAAUUGUAAAUGAUUCAUUACAACUAUAGAUUAUGUAGUUUUACUGUGUCCAUGGUUAAUGAGGUCUCUUACUUCCUCAUUCCAUGGAAAGAAAUGGAAAUGCUGUGUGCAAUCGUGUAUCAUUGUUUUACGGUUAAUAAACGAGCCAACCAAACUUUGAGUAGCUUAAGCUUAGGCUUGGCUUGAGCUCAAUUCAAGCAUCAAUAUCAGAGCUCAAGCUUGGCUUGUCUUAAACUCCUUUAAAACAAGACUAGCUUGAGCUUAUCUUGUUCAAAUGUAAACGAGUCAAUUUCAAGCUCAGCUCAUUUAAUUGUAAAUGAGCUAAGCUCAUAGUUACCAGAUUUGCUCACGCCCCUUGGGUAUCGUGAUCUGGGUCACACUUUCCAAUUCUAGGAACAUUUGCAUACCUAUUCUCUAGGAGAUGCGAUCUGGGUCGCUAAAAUGGGAGUUUCGGCAAGCAACAAAGGGGGGAAAAAAGAAAAGGAGAAGAUGAAGUACACAACAGCCUUGCGUGAAAGAAAUUCUGCAGUUUUUACCAUUUUUGCUCUUGCCUUUCUACCAAAAUAUUAGUAAUUGUAAAUUGUCUAUGAAUAAUAAUUU